rnacentral:lncRNA from 1 species
UUAAGAAGAAACCUGUGCCCCGAUCUUGCCUACUCACCCAAAGGCACUGUGAGGUAAACAACAGGAGUGUGGAUGGAAAAUCAAUGGAAAGUGAAAAAUAGCAUCAAAGGAACAGCUAGUAAGAGACACAGAGCCAGAAAUCAGGGAAGUAAAAUACACUUGACAUCUACAUUCGGAAAGAAAUUUUAGGAGGCAGAAGCAAAUGGAUCAGAAGCUGCUUAUAUUUUUGCAAGAUUACCAAAGAAACCAUUGGUGGAGAAAGUUCUGUGACCAACUUGUCUGAGUCUAGCUCCGGAAAGCUGCCUAAAGUAGAUGGAGUCUUCUCUGUGUGUGCCCCACUGGUCCUGCAGUUGAAGGAUCCGGUAAAGCAGCCUGCCCUGGGUUUUACACUCCAGAGGAACGUGAUUCGCUGGACUAAAGCAUUGAAGUGCAUCCUGUUUCCGGGGGGCACUGGAACAGAGCCUGGUCUGUUCUAGCCAGUCCCUUUCUAUCUCAGGAUGUUGCAUUCCCAGUACAUUCUACAGUUAUUCUUGAGAACUAUAAUCAAAUAAGCAGGGAGAACUGGGAAAGCAGAGGCUCAUCGUGGAACCCUCAAGGAGCAUGUGGUCGUCUUCAUCCCUCAGUUUAUAAAUGGCCAAGGAGAGUAAUGCAACAAAAACUUCUCAGACUUAAGAGCCAGAGUUCCUAAAGAACCGUGGACAAAGGGUUCUGUCUAGUGGGCAGAAUUCAUCCAGCGAAGGUGCUUACUGCACUCCCAGCAUGUGCUUGGGAACUUUAUUAAAAUUCCUUCCUAUUGAGAUUUAAAUUGCUGUCCAGAAUUAUACAAUAUAAUGAAUGGGGGCAUUCAUUAUGUGUAUUCUAUGCCUUCUCCAUCAUUGCAUAUUCAGUCCUCGUGCUAGAGAGAGGCAGAUAAUCUACCUUUUAAAUUUAUAGGUCUCCUAACUACAGAGGGUCACAUCUGGAUCUGAUGGUACCUACAGAACUUGGACUCUGAGCGACAAUCAGUGACCAGGUGUGACUUUAUAUUAUCUCUGUCAGGGAAGGGUGAGAGUGUUCAGUGUGUGAACAUAGAAUAAAAUGGUCUGGUGACCAAAAGGCUCUAUUAAAGAUAAUAUGAGAUGUUCAAAGCACUGGCUAUUUUCUUGGGAACAAAAGUUGAACUUCUAAAUCUUUCUCACAGAUUGUAGACCAAAGGAAUGAAUUCUGAUUGGCAGAAUAUAAGCCUACGUAAUAUAAAAAAGACUUCCAGGUUUGGCCCUCUGAGUCUUGACUCAUUACACACCAUCUCACAGCCUUAUUUUGCCUUUCAGCAGGAAAUUUGGAACCUAGGUUUUCCCAACCUACAUCUACAAAAUGGAAUGGGUCUGAUUCACAAGUUUUCAGAGAAAGAAGCCAACCUUAAUCAGACUGUGAUAUGAUGAGGAAAUAAAAAUUGCUGUGCUAAUCAACUGAUACUGGGAAGCAUGUUUAUUAUAAUAACAUAGUCUAUGCUUAACUUUUCGAAGAAACUAAUGAUCUGGAAUAUCGAUAAAAAGAAAAAAGAAAGAAAGCAAAAGGACAGAAAGUUUUAGUGAGAAUAUGUCACUAAAAGAAAAAUACAAAAAUCUCCAGGUAAUUGUUCUUGUCUGUCACUAUAAUCAAAGUGGUAUUUCACCCCCCAUCUGUUGUCCCUGCUUUGAUGAGUGAGAAUAGAAGAGCAGUUCCUGGUUACAUGUUGGCAACAGGAGGGUAUAAAUAUCAAAUUGCCUUAAGCACUGGCAAAGGCUUAAGAGUCCAUCCUAAAUUGAGGGAUUAUCCAGUACCCUGUUUAGAAUGGAAAUAAAUCCUUGCACAGUACUUUCAACUCAAUAACUGAAAAAAUGCAGAGAGCAAAUUCAACAAUUUGUAUUACCAACAGCCAGCUGAGUCCAACUUUCUAAAUCCAUUGGAAAACAGAAAAGCAGAAAAGCAGAAAAACAGGCAUCAGUAACUGUCCUAAAAAGUGAAGGACUCAGGAGGCUGAGGCAGCAGAAUCACUUGAACCCAGGAGGCAGAGGUUGCAGUGAGCCGAGAUGGUGCCACUGCACUCCAGCCUCGGCGACAGAGCGAGACCGUCUCAAAAAUAAAAAAAAAAAAAAAAUGUGAAGGACUGAGGGAAAGAAACAGAAUAGACCAUAAUGAGUCAGAUGCGAGAUAAGAGAAACAGGGCCCGGAACAUAUGCCCUCAGAUAGAAUAAGAACAAUAUCAAAGAUGAAAAUCCAAGAAAACACCUUGAGGAAAAUAAGAUGAUAGUAAUACUAAAUAUAUAUGUUAAAGGACUAAUUUUAAUGAGAUACCUUCACAUAGGUAGGAAGAAAAAUAAAUUCAAUGUGCAGAUAUUCCUUAUGUAUAUACCAAUGAAAGUAAAGAGACAGAUAAAAUAAGUCAGGCAAAUGCUAACAUAAGAAAAUAGAGUCACAUUAUUUAUUUUGUAAUUUGAUAUCUGAAUAUUAAAAACUUACACCUUCAAAGUGCAGAUAUAACUCCCAUGAAUGUUGACACACUAAGUAACAGUAAAAUACAUUAAGCCAAUUAGAACUGUAAGAAAAAGGAAAGCAACACAGAAUAAAAACAAGACUCAGUAGGUGAUCUUUAUCUAGAAUCAGAACAAUUAAAAUAAAAUAAUGACUGGAGAAAAACUGAAGUAAGUACUAUGUUUAAUGCCUGUAAGCAAAUAUACGUAUUUUGAAUUGUGACAUGAUUAAAAAAGAACAUAUGAUUUUCAAGUGUUCAUAUAACACAUUGAAAAAUUAAGCAUAAACUCCCCGAAAUUCUUAUACCUAAAUGUCAUAAAAUAAGUACCAAUCAUACCAACUACUUUUCUGAACAUAAUGCAGUGAGAUCUAUAAAACAACUGAUAUUUUGUGGCUGUUGUUUACCGCAUCAAAAGAAGACUAAUAAAGCAAUGUAUUUACCCUGUGAAUGUAUAUGUUCAAAUAAUUUAUAUAGACUGUACACAUAAUAUUCUUUUAAUUUUCUUUAUAUUUCUUCUUAUAUAUCCAUUUUCUAAAAUAGUGAGUUAUGCUUUUAUUCACUAGAUUUUUUUCUGUUUAAAUUUGUUUAGGUAUUAUAUUUGAUAUUUUAUUAAUUUCUGUAUUGAUGUUUAUCAUUUACUUCUUCCAGUUUUCAAAUAUUUUAUGAUUAAAAUUAUAGAUCAUUGUUUUAAGACCAUCUUAUGUAAAUAGCAAAGGUUUGAUUUGUAAUGAUUUUAUAAAUAUACAUAUUUUAAUAUAAUCAAAUUGUUAAUAUGCUGGUCUACACAUUUGCCUUUAGUUUCCAUUUUUACCCAAGAUACGCUAGACAAAUAUUUUCAUGUUAUUCUAAAGAUUAGAAUUUUUAUUUUGCUGUCAAUAGCUCUUUAAUAUCUUUCAUAUGUUCUAUCUACCUAUAUCUCUGUGUGAUCUUUGUUAAACCCAUAUUCUGAGGUUUAGAUUUCCCAACCACCCAAUACUGGUGGAAAUUCUGAUAGUUUUUGAAACCAUGUCUCAAGACUUGUCCCAUGGAAAAUAAAGGAAAUCUCUAUUCUGUCAUUGGCUGGGAACUGCUCUAGGGUGUUUACAUCCCUGGCAAUUUUUAUUUUUCUCAUGUUGAGCCUGAAAGAAAGUCACCGAUCAUGAAAUGCGAGCAUGGACAGGGACAAUUAGUCCAAAGGGAAAAAUUAGAGACACUGACUGUUCCAUUAUACGUAACUAUAUACCUAGUCACUCAAUAUAAUGAAGAGUUUCAUAAUUAGUCAAAAUGAAAUUGAACCAUAUUAAUUCUACAUGGAACAAUUCAAAAUGAAUUUAGUCUGGGUAUAGAUGGUAAAGAGAAAAAGUGAAUUUAAUUAGAACACAAUUUCAAUCAAAUUAAGUCUUUGCAUGAGUUAUCAAGGACACAAUAAAUAACUGAACAAUUCCAAAGAGUUACUUUCAUAGUAAUUUCAAAUAAUGCUCUAAUUAUCUCGAA